UGGGCAACCUGCCCCAGACACAGGGAUAACCCCGGGAAACCGGGGCUAAUACCGGAUACUCCGGUCGAGCCGCAUGGCUCGAUCGGGAAAGCUCCGACGGUCUGGGAUGGGCCCGCGGCCUAUCAGCUUGUUGGUGGGGUAACGGCCUACCAAGGCGACGACGGGUAGCUGGUCUGAGAGGACGACCUGCCACACUGGAACUGAGAUACGGUCCAGACUCCUACGGGAG
rnacentral:rRNA from 1 species